AGUAAAGGUAUUAUUGAGUGCAGCGUUGAUGAACCUCCCGGGCCAGCUAAUUAGCUUGAAACUCUGAAAUUGGCUCAAUUAGGUUCACCAACACUGCACCCAAUUACGCCUUUG
rfam:Leersia perrieri chromosome 2, whole genome shotgun sequence.